UUUCAGUCACAUUCACUCCCUCAAUAAACCUGAUUAUAUCUUGAUAUAAAUACUGCGUGAGGAUGUUUUUAUCUCCUUUAUUGUAUAAGCCUCUGAUAUAGCUGACCAUUGCAUCUCUCCUCUCCAGAUACACUGAGAUUCCAGUUGAGCUUCAUCAAUGAGGGUACUUUACUUUAUCUACAUUGUCUGGCUCUUGGCAGCUGCAGGUUUCACUUCCCACAUCAAGUUCAGAAUAAGUUCAGUAACCACAAAGGAACCCCAAAUCGCCAAGACAAGGAUGUCUGAUGACACCAAAUUCCUGAGGAAAAUCUGGGGGAAUGACACUCUGGUAUGUUUCGAUAAGCAAGGCAACUGUUAUGACAUUUGUCCACGCCAGAAAAAGGAGAUUGGAAGCUGUGCCGAGAAAGUACUAAAGUGUUGCGUGCUAAAAGAAAUGAAACAAAAGCAAAAGAAGAUAAAGGGAUGAAGAAGAUCACAGCUGUUUUGUUGGUUAAUUUGUUGUUUUUACAAAAAAAAAUGCUGUUUUUUAUAAAAAAUAAAAAGAAG
rnacentral:lncRNA from 1 species